rnacentral:rRNA from 1 species
CGUGUAGGCGGUCCGUUAAGUUGGUAGUGAAAUCCCAUGGCUCAACCAUGGAAGUGCUGCCAAAACUGGCGGGCUGGAGUGCCGGAGAGGGUGGCGGAAUUCCCAGUGUAGAGGUGAAAUUCGUAGAUAUUGGGAGGAACACCGGUGGCGAAGGCGGCCACCUGGACGGUAACUGACGCUAAGACGCGAAAGCGUGGGGAGGCAAAACA